AAUUCGUGGUGCAGGCAUUUUUGAAUCAAUGUUUUCAAAUGUUCCCACGCCUCAUAGAAGCUUUCUCCCUCCAUCUGUCUAAAGACAACAAUCUUUUUUCUUAGAU
rfam:Gossypium raimondii chromosome 1, whole genome shotgun sequence.